UUUCAGUCUGUCUUUUGAAUACAAGGAUUUUCGAUUAAAAUAAGUCGAUGUCGAGAACAAGCGUGGCCCUGGAGGACGAGGAGAAGCAGAGAUGCACUGCUGGUGCCAGUCCACCCGACUUCAGCCCAGACACCCCACAAUCCUUACCAGAAAGACUGAAUUUGGAAGCGUCCGUCAGUGCUGUGGAUACAAGCCCCUCCCCUUCUAGCAAUGGAACCACACCUGCUGGC